rnacentral:lncRNA from 1 species
UUUCGACUUUUCACAUAUUUGCUAUUUUUCUUCAGUAAAGUUUUAUUUUUGUUUUCUUAAUUUCGUCAUAUUUAUAAACGAUCAUAUGGGAAUACAUAUUGUCGGUAAACUUUCUGUAUUCUUAUGAUGUUUCAGUCUCGUUGAUAUCUCGUUCGGGAUUUACUUUCAAACAUGUGAUACUAGUGGAAAAUAUCAAUGAAUUUGAAAAUAACAUCAUAAUCAAACUGAACUAUGUAAAA